GGAAAUAUCAAUACCAUAGAUCCAGGUGGAACUUUGCACAUUGAUGAGAUUCAAAUAUUAAGUGAAGUAGAAAAUUCAGAUGCAAAUCAAGAGCAAAGUAUAGAUGAAGACCAAGACAAAUCAGUGCAAGUCUAUGCAAUAAGGGAUGCAAAUCCAAACACAAUUAAGGAAGCAGCAGUAGAAACACAUAACACCGCGAACCAAGUGGAAUUAAGAGAUGUAGAUUUGGAGGAAGAAUCCACUGCUCAAAUUUUCCUUAAUGUUCCUAAGCAUGGGGAUCUGUCUCAAAGGCAUAUUGAACCUGUGAAAUUUCCAGCAAAAGAAAAAAAGAAACAGUCAAAAGAGAAUUCAAAUGCACGGACCAAGGGAAUAAAAACAAGGAGCACUCUGUCCAAGCACAAAAAUAUAUAAUGGAUGCCAUUAUAUGGAAUGUGAGAUCAGUAAAUACAAUGCAAGCAUUUCAAAGGCUAGUUACAAUGCAUCAGAAACAUCAAUUUCAAUUCAUAGGAAUCAUUGAACCUAUGCAGCAGUCUAACAAAAUGGAGAGNNNNNNNNNNNNNNNNNNNNNNNNNNNNNNNNNNNNNNNNNNNNNNNNNNNNNNNNNNNNNNNNUGCAGCAGUCUAACAAAAUGGAGAGAUAUAGAGCAAGAAUUGGUUUGGCUCAAGCUGUGGUGAAUGUGUCAAACAAGAUUUGGGCAUUUAUUGAUGAAAUCUUUGCAGUUGAUAUUCUGUAUAAUAUGAAUCAACAGUUGACUUUAAAAUUGGUGCACACUGAAACACAUGCAGAGCUCAUCCUCACGCUAGUAUACGCUAAAUGUGAUCGCAUUGAAAGAAUUGAGCUAUGGGAUUCUCUAUAUUCAAUGGUAUCACACAUUACUGUUCCAUGGCUGGUCGAAGGAGACUUUAAUGUGAUUUGGGAUGAGGAAGAGAAGUUUGGCAGCUUGCCAGUCUCGUUCCUCGAAGUAGAUCACUUCAGACAUUGCAUAAACUCAUGCUCUUUAAACGAUUUGGGGUAUAAAGGAUGCAUUUACACAUGGUGGAACGGAAGAUCAGAAGAGGACUGUAUAUUCCAAAGACUAGAUAGAUGUCUAGGAAAUGAUGAACUGCAAUAGACCUUUCCUGCAUUGGAGGUAACUCAUUUGUCCAAAAUCGGCUCCGACCAUUGCCCCAUGCUGCUCAAAUGUUAUAAAAAAAGCUCCCCCAGUUAAGAAGUCUUUCAGAUUUCUUAAUUUCUGGACAAAGCAUGACUCUUUUAAUGAUGUAGUCAAGGAGAAUUGGAAGGCUGAUUUUAGUGCUAACCCUUUCACCAUUUUUAACUACAUGGUAAAGAAGCUUAAACAUGCACUUUCUACCUGGAGUAGAGCUACAUAUGGGGACAUUUUCCAGAAGAUUGAAAGUCUAGAGGAGGUGGUCCUGUUUCAUGAAAAACAAUUUGAAGUUAAUCCUACAUAGAUAAACAGACAGAGAUUGUGACUGAUCCAAGCUGAAUUGCUUAAAUAUCUUGCAGUAGAAGAACAAUUUUGGAGACAAAAAGCAGGCAUGUUAUGGUUCAAUGUUGGUGAUAGAAACACUAAAUUUUUCCAUGCUCAAGUUAAUGGGAGAAGGAAGAGACUAAAAUUAUCAAGGAUUCAAAAUAGCCUUGGUAAUUAUCAAGAAGAUCAUGUAAUAGCAGAAGAAGCAGUAAAGUUUUACAAGGAAUUAUUUACUGAGAGUUCAAUUCCUAAUGCUUUUGAUAUUCUAAACCAAGUACCUUCAAUGGUAGAUAAUGAUCAACAUGAGAGAUUAAUGGCUUUACCUUCUAAUGAGGAAGUGAAGAAAGCAGUCAUGGGGCUCAAUGGGGAUUAGCAAGUGGUCCAGAUGGUUUCACAUGAGCCUUUUACCAAACGUGCUGGGAAAUCAUUGAAGAAGAUGUAGUCGUCAUGGUCAAGUCUUUUUUCUGCGGUCACCAACUGCCAAAGAAUGUGACGCACACAAACCUGGUUUUAUUACCAAAGAAAAAAGAAGUGACUACCUUUGCAGACAUGAGGCCAAUUAGUCUUAGCAACUUUGUUAACAAGAUUUUCUCAUGGGUCAUUCAUGAAAUGUUAGUUGAACUGUUACCAAGCUUAAUCUUAGGAGAGCAAGCUGAAUUGGUGAAGGGAAGAAACAUCGUUGAGAAUGUUCUGCUAACUGAAGAAAUCACUAAGGAUAUCAGGGUAAGAAUUAAAGCAUGUCCAAAUGUUGUGAUAAAGCUAGACAUGACAAAAGCUUAUGAUAGGUUAUCAUGGCUUUUCCUGACUAAAGUGCUAAGGAAGAUGGGAUUUCCUGAAGGUUUUAUUGGCUUGAUAUUUUAUUUAAUAGGGAACAAUUGGUACUCUAUUCUAAUAAAUGGUCAGCCAUAUGGCUUUUUCAAAUCUUCUAAGGGUGUUAAGCAGGGAGACCCGCUGUUUCCUACACUAUUCGUUAUAGCAGCAGAAGCACUGUCUCGAGGUUUGAACUCACUGCAUACUAACUUGUAUUUUCGUGGAUUUGGACUUCCAAAAUGGAGCCCAAGAAUAAACCAUAUGGCUUAUGCGGAUGAUACAAUCAUUUUCUGCUCAUCAGAUGAAACUUCAUCGAGACUUGUCAGGGAGGUUUUGCAAGCUUAUGAAUCAGCAACUGGUCAACUGGUGAACAAAGUCAAAUCAGCCAUAUAUCUGCACCAUUCAUCGAAAAAUGAGGUGAUUAACAAGGUGGAAAGGAUUACUGGUAUAGGAAAACAGUGUUUUCCAAAGACCUAUCUUGGUUGUCCUAUAUUUUAUGCCAGAAGAAGGAGUGAUUACUACCAGGGAUUAAUUUCAAAGGUGAUGGACAAACUGCAGUCAUGGAAAGGCAAACUUCUUUCUGUAGGAGGCAGGGCCAUAUUGAUUGAAAAUGUUCUGCAAAGUAUCUCAAUUCAUAUGCUGUCAGCAGUUAAUCCUCCAAGCUAUGUCAUUUCAAAAAUACAUAGCAUUUUUGCAAAAUUUUUCUGGAGCAGUAAUGUGGGAGGAAGCUCAAGACAUUGGUCCAAAUUACAUAGCAUUUUUGCAAAAUUUUUCUGGAGCAGUAAUUUGGGAGGAAGCUCAAGACAUUGGUCAUCUUGGACUAACCUGUGUAUGCCAUAUGAGGAAGGGUGUAUAGGCUUCAGAUCCCUUCAUGAUGUAUCCAAGGCAAUGUUCUGCAAAUUGUGGUGGAACUUUAGGACAAAACCCAGUUUAUGGAGUGCAUUUAUGUGUCAAAGAUAUUGCAAGAAAUUAAAUCCUGUAAUUGUAUCGUGGAAGGGUGGAUCCCACGUUUGGAAGAAAAUGCUUCAAUGCAGGGACUUGAUCGAGCAUCAAAUCUACUGGAAAUUGAGAAUAGGAUCAGCUCAAUUCUGGUUCGACAAUUGGACAGAAAUGGGACCACUAUAUUUCCAAAUGCCAUACCAGUUUGCCAUUGAUGAAGACAUUCACAAUGUCAAUGAUAUGAUUGAAGAUGGUAUAUGGAAUAUGGAAAAAUUAUUUCAGACUCUGCCUGAAGAGUGGGCUAACCACAUUGUGCAGAAUAUUAGACCCCCAAAAGAAUGUGCAGAGUUAGAUACACAUUUCUGGAUGCUUGAAGAAAGGGGACAUGUGCUGAUCCUAAGCAGGAGUCUUUAGUUCAUUUAUUCCUUACAUUAAAUGCAGCUAAGAGUGUCUGGAAUUAUUUCUUAAAGAGAGCAGGAAUUCAAAUAGAAGGGUUGUCUUUACAUCAAGCAAUUACAAAAUGCUGGACGACUUCAGCCAUAC
rnacentral:lncRNA from 1 species